rnacentral:lncRNA from 1 species
CCCGCCGGUUUCGCCUCAAGGCCGUGCAAACCAGCAAAGCCUGCAAUGUGCCUUCCCUCUACACCUGCGUGGUGCCCGUGGAUGGCACCACCCAGGCAGCCCUGCCCGCCGCCGUGGAGGUGUGCAGCGCAGCCAGCUCUGCCAGCCACCAGCGAGCGGCUCCAGCAGAGAGCUGUUGCCACAGGAGUUACUCGGCAGGUUUGGCCCGGCAGCAGGACGCGGAGCAGGACGAGGCGCUCAUCGCUGCAGAGCGAGAUGAGAUCCCUGCGUCUCCAGCUAGUGUAUCCUCUGCGACCUCUGGCUGGGAAAAGCAGAACAGCCCUAAUGGGCGGCCAUCUAGCCCCUCCAUCGCCUCCAUGGGCUCCCAGAAAUCCACGGAGAGCAUUGCUGGCUCCAGGUUUAGCCUGAGCAGACGCAGGGGGCCCAGCCUGGCACUGCGCCCACACUGCCUCAGCCCGGAAAGUGAGCACGCCAGCAGCAACGCCAGCCACGAAUA